rnacentral:rRNA from 1 species
UUUGAUCCUCGGCUCAGGAUGAACGCUAGCGAUAGGCUUAACACAUGCAAGUCGAGGGGUAACGUGUUGGAAGCUUGCUUCCGAUGACGACGACCGGCGGAUGGGUGCGUAACGCGUAUGCAACUUGCCUCACAGUGGAGAAUAACCCGGAGAAAUCCGGACUAAUGUUCCAUACACUCUUAAGUACGCCUGUACAUGAGAGGAAAGAUUUAUCGCUGUGAGAUAGGCAUGCGUCCUAUUAGGUAGUUGGUGAGGUAACGGCUCACCAAGCCGACGAUAGGUAGGGGUGCUGAGAGGCAGAUCCCCCACAUUGGGACUGAGACACGGCCCAAACUCCUACGGGAGGCAGCAGUGAGGAAUAUUGGUCAAUGGAGGAAACUCUGAACCAGCCAAGUCGCGUGAAGGAAGAAUGUCCUAAGGAUUGUAAACUUCUUUAGCGAGCGAGUAAGGACUUCCACGUGAUGGGAGUUUGAAAGUAGCUCGAGAAUAAGUAUCGGCUAACUCCGUGCCAGCNGCCGCGGUA